rnacentral:rRNA from 1 species
GAUGAACGCUGGCGGCGUGCCUAAUACAUGCAAGUCGAGCGAACGGACGAGAAGCUUGCUUCUCUGAUGUUAGCGGCGGACGGGUGAGUAACACGUGGAUAACCUACCUAUAAGACUGGGAUAACUUCGGGAAACCGGAGCUAAUACCGGAUAAUAUUUUGAACCGCAUGGUUCAAAAGUGAAAGACGGUCUUGCUGUCACUUAUAGAUGGAUCCGCGCUGCAUUAGCUAGUUGGUAAGGUAACGGCUUACCAGGGCAACGAUGCAUAGCCGACCUGAGAGGGUGAUCGGCCACACUGGAACUGAGACACGGUCCAGACUCCUACGAGAGGCAGCAGUAGGGAAUCUUCCGCAAUGGGCGAAAGCCUGACGGAGCAACGCCGCGUGAGUGAUGAAGGUCUUCGGAUCGUAAAACUCUGUUAUUAGGGAAGAACAUAUGUGUAAGUAACUGUGCACAUCUUGACGGUACCUAAUCAGAAAGCCACGGCUAACUACGUG